rnacentral:rRNA from 1 species
UACAGAGGGGGCAAGCGUUAUUCGGAAUUAUUGGGCGUAAAGGGCGCGUAGGCGGCGAUUCAAGUGACGGGUGAAAUCCCUCGGCUUAACCGAGGAACUGCCUGUCAGACUGGGUUGCUUGAGACCGGGAGAGGCGAGUGGAAUUCCCAGUGUAGCGGUGAAAUGCGCAGAUAUCAGGAGGAACACCAAUGGCGAAGGCAGCUCGCUGGAACGGUACUGACGCUGAGGCGCGAAAGCGUGGGGAGCGAACAGG